CCAGGAACACGAAGCUCGAGUGGUUCCCAAUGGAACGGGGGAAUCGGUCCGGCCACCGAGUUCCACUGCAGAUUGAGACGCUGCAAGCUCGCUAGUCUCCCGAUCUCCGCCGGGAGCUGGCCGGCACGCGGUAGGUGUGGAGGAUCACGGAGUGAAGAUUUGUGGCGUUGCCGAUCUCCGGCGGGAUGCUUCCGGGAAAUGGGAAUGGAUUUGUUCUGCACGUGGAACGUUGUGACCUCCGGCCAGCUUGUGGAUG
rnacentral:lncRNA from 1 species